rnacentral:rRNA from 1 species
CCUACGGGGGACAGCAGUAGGGAAUCUUCCACAAUGGGCGAAAGCCUGAUGCAGCAACGCCGCGUGAGUGAAGAAGGUCUUCGGAUCGUAAAACCCUGUUGUUAGAGAAGAAAGUGCGUGCGAGUAACUGUUCACGUUUCGACGGUAUCUAACCAGAAAGCCACGGCUAACUACGUGCCAGCAGCCGCGGUACUACGUAGGGGGCAAACGUUGUCCGGAUUUAUUUGGCGUAAAGGGAACGCAGGCGGUCUUUUAAGUCUGAUGUGAAAGCCUUCGGCUUAACCGGAGUAGUGCAUUGGAAACUGGGAGACUUGAGUGCAGAAGAGGAGAGUGGAACUCCAGGUGUAGCGGUGAAAUGCGUAGAUAUAUGGAAGAACACCAGUGGCGAAAGCGGCUCACUGGUCUGUAACUGACGCUGAGGUUCGAAAGCGUGGGUAGCAAACAGGAUUAGAUACCCCAGUAGUC